AACCUUAUGGACCUGCGGGCGUAUACCUGCGGAGGGAUCAUUACAAGUGACCCCGGUCUAACCACCGGGAUGUUCAUAACCCUUUGUUGUCCGACUCUGUUGUCUCCGGGGCGACCCUGCCUUCGGGCGGGGGCUCCGGGUGGACACUUCAAACUCUUGCGUAACUUUGCAGUCUGAGUAAACUUAAUUAAUAAAUUAAAACUUUCAACAAUGGAUCU
rnacentral:misc_RNA from 1 species